ensembl:lncRNA
ACCUCUGAGGGUGUGCUGCGGUAUCUGGCACCAAGACGUUAGCAGCAGAUCCUUUAGGUCCUGUACGUUGCAAGGUGGGGUCUCCAUGGAUCAGACCUGUUUGGCCAGCACAUCCCACAGAUGAUAUAUGAUAUGAGAUAAUCAGUGUUAUUCACUCGGAUUGUUUUAAAGGUUAUAACAUGAGCAGUUUUGCCUCAAAUUGCCUCACAUUGAGUUAGAGGUUAUAACGUGAGCAGCUUUGCCUCAAAUUGCCUCAGAUUGUGUUUGAGGUUAUAACGUGAACAGUUUUGCCUCAAAUUGCCUCAGAUUGUGUUUGAGGCUAUAACGUGAACAGUUUUGCCUCAGAUUGUGCUAGAGGUUAUAACAUGAGCAGGUUUGCCUCAAAUUGCCUCAGAUUGUGUUAGAAGUUAUAUUGUGGAUAAUUUUGUCCCACCUUGCUUCAGAUUGUUAAAGGUUAUAAUGUUGAUAGUUUUGCCUCAGAUUUGCCUCAGAGCAAUAUCUAAAAAUGUUCCAAUAUAGGGCCUGAGUGUAUAAAAGUGAACUACUCAGUUCGGUGCCUCUUCUGUAGUUUACUUUAAAUAAUUCAUUCUACCAAAUAAAUACAUGUUAAUGAAGAAGUUCACACAUUUCUUGCGUCAAGGUUUAACAAGCGAGCUGAAAGGCAGUUCAGCAGCACACCGAUGAACUGACACACAGCCCACGCCGUGUGGAAACAGAUGAGGGUUCUUGACUUUUUUGUCCUCCAUCACAGCAAGAGGAAGAGAGAGAGGGAGCGUGCUGGAGGACAUUAGAA